GAUGAACGCUGGCGGCGUGCCUAAUACAUGCAAGUCGAGCGAACGGACGAGAAGCUUGCUUCUCUGAUGUUAGCGGCGGACGGGUGAGUAACACGUGGAUAACCUACCUAUAAGACUGGGAUAACUUCGGGAAACCGGAGCUAAUACCGGAUAAUAUUUUGAACCGCAUGGUUCAAAAGUGAAAGACGGUCCUGCUGUCACUUAUAGAUGGAUCCGCGCUGCAUUAGCUAGUUGGUAAGGUAACGGCUUACCAAGGCAACGAUGCAUAGCCGACCUGAGAGGGUGAUCGGCCACACUGUAACUGAGACACGGUCCAGACUCCUACGGGAGGCAGCAGUAGGGAAUCUUCCGCAAUGGGCGAAAGCCUGACGGAGCAACGCCGCGUGAGUGAUGAAGGUCUUCGGAUCGUAAAACUCUGUUAUUAGGGAAGAACAUAUGUGUAAGUAACUGUGCACAUCUUGACGGUACCUAAUCAGAAAGCCACGGCUAACUACGUG
rnacentral:rRNA from 1 species